rnacentral:rRNA from 1 species
AGCGAACGCUGGCGGCAGGCCUAACACAUGCAAGUCGAGCGCCGUAGCAAUACGGAGCGGCAGACGGGAGAGUAACACGUGGGAACGUGCCCUUUGGUUCGGAACAACCCAGGGAAACUUGGGCUAAUACCGGAUAAGCCCUUACGGGGAAAGAUUUAUCGCCGAAGGAUCGGCCCGCGUCUGAUUAGCUUGUUGGUGGGGUAACGGCCCACCAAGGCGACGAUCAGUAGCUGGUCUGAGAGGAUGAUCAGCCUCACUGGGACUGAGACACGGCCCAGACUCCUACGGGAAGCAGCAGUGGUGAAUAUUGGACAAUGGGCUCAAGCCUGAUCCAGCCAUGCCGCGUUGGUGAUGAAGGCCCUAGGGUUGUAAAGCCCUUUCGGCAGGGAAGAUAAUGACGGUACCCGCAGAAGAAGCCCCGGCUAACUUCGUGCCAGCCGCCGCGGUAACAC